rnacentral:tRNA from 1 species
GGUGAUGUAGCUCAGUGGCAAAGUGUGUGCCUAGCAUGGGUGCAUGAGGCCCUGAGUUUAAUCCCCAGUACCACCA